AGUGGGAUAGCUGGGUCAAAUGGUGGUUCCAUUUCAAGUUUUCUAAGGAACCUCCUUACUGCUUUCCAUAUUGGCUGCACCAUUUUGUAGUCCUACUAGCAAU
rnacentral:pre_miRNA from 1 species